GGUGAGGUGUCCGCGUGGCUGAAGGAGCACGCCUGGAAAGUCUGUAUACGGCAACGUAUCGGGGGGUCGAAUCCCCCCCUCACCGCCA
rnacentral:tRNA from 1 species